AUGCUCUAUGUCGUAGGCCGACUAUUGCCUGGACCUCACCUCCCUCUAUGGAAGGUGCCCUUGCCCUUGAAGAUGAAUUUUUUUGUGUUGCAAUUGAGGGAUCACCUCCCAUCUGGGACGGAUGUGCUCAAGAGGCACGGUCCGGGGAAUGGGUUGUGCCCCCUUUAUGGUGUCCCCGAGAUGGAGACCCACAUCCUUCACUCUUGCACGACGACAAGAUUUCUCUGGAGUUUUGUCUGUGAGGCUUUGGGGCCUGACUGGGAGGCCCUGGACCUGGCUGGGUUCCUUCAAACCGGAGCCAAUCAGACCGUGAUAUGUCUCCAACGUAUCAAUAAUUUUUGA
rnacentral:rRNA from 1 species